GACAGAGGGUGCAAGCGUUGUUCGGAAUUAUUGGGCGUAAAGGGCGCGUAGGCGGUCUUGCAAGUCGGAUGUGAAAGCCCAGGGCUCAACCUUGGAAGUGCAUCCGAAACUGCGAAACUUGAGUCCCGGAGAGGGUGGUGGAAUUCCCAGUGUAGAGGUGAAAUUCGUAGAUAUUGGGAGGAACACCGGUGGCGAAGGCGACCACCUGGACGGAGACUGACGCUGAGGCGCGAUAGCGUGGGGAGCAAACAGG
rnacentral:rRNA from 1 species